GUGGCUAUGGUGUAAUGGCAGCACUGGGGACUGUGGUUCCCUUAGAGCGGGUUCAAAUCCCGUUAGCCACCCCA
rnacentral:tRNA from 1 species